rnacentral:lncRNA from 1 species
CUCACCCCAGUAAUGAGUCAAUCAGGUGUGUGGCUCUGCAACAGGAGCUGACACAGUGGAAAAUUGAGGCAAGAUGUUGCAAAAGAAAACCUAGGAGCUGUACUGGAGCAGAACAUUUCAAUUCAGACUAGACACAUUUCAAGUGUUCGAUAGCCUCAUGCGGCUAGUGGCUACUCUGUCAAAUAGCAAAGUUCUGGAAGGCCUUGCUACUGGAUGAAAGAAGCCUACUGCAUCUACAUCAAACUGCCAAAGCAAGAAAUAAUCUUCUGUUGUAUUAAGCAAGCCACUGAGAUCUGAGGGCUUAUUUGUUACUAUAGCAUAGUUUACCGCUACUCUGACUAUUAUAAAAACUGUUAUAAAUUCAGGGCCAAUCAACAGACUUUCCCUCUACCUCUGAAGUUUAAAGAAAUUGGAUGUGUCUGAACAAAAAUAAAAUCUUUGACCAGGAAAUUAGGUGAGGGAUUGAUGCACUCAUGGUUUUCACCAGUGGAGGCAAACUUACUGAAGAGUGGAAGAGAUGGCGUUGACCGUCUAACCGGUCACUAUCAGUUGUGUGCACAAAACUGAGUUCUAUUCACAAGUCAAACAGAUUAGGAGACUCCUUUCCUGCUUGAUUGUUAAAAACCUAUCUUUUUUGGAGGAUAUCAUUCAGUCAAACACUAAAGUUAUUAUUAAAUAUGAUAAAUAAAAAUGGCAAGCAACAGGAUAUUUUGGAGUAUAUGACAAAGCCAUUUGGUGUAAACUUAAUUCAGUCUGACUUUGUUUUUCCAAAAGGGCCUGACAUGGCCAUUGAGUGUGCAUUGUAUAUCUGCUUUAAGCAUGUGCUGGGUCCCAAAGACAGGAACAAAUCGCCUUAUGAUAAAGAUGCAACUUCCCCCACAUUGGCAUUUCCUUAAGGAUAAGCAUCUCUCCCUAGGCUAGGAACUGAUUGCUCUGCUCGCCUGUGACCACCCAGCUUGAGACAAAAGAUCUGCCACCCUGCUGUGUCCAUCAAUCUCUGUGCUGAAAGGGCAGUCAUGUGACUAUUGUAAAAGGGACAUUUCAAUCCUAUGUGAAACAUUCUCUUAGAGGGUAUAUAACCA